rnacentral:rRNA from 1 species
UACGUAGGUGGCAAGCGUUGUCCGGAUUUACUGGGUGUAAAGGGCGUGCAGCCGGAGAGACAAGUCAGAUGUGAAAUCCACGGGCUCAACUCGUGAACUGCAUUUGAAACUGUUUCCCCUGAGUGUCGGAGAGGUAAUCGGAAUUCCUUGUGUAGCGGUGAAAUGCGUAGAUAUAAGGAAGAACACCAGUGGCGAAGGCGGAUUACUGGACGAUAACUGACGGUGAGGCGCGAAAGCGUGGGGAGCAAACAGG